rnacentral:rRNA from 1 species
UGGGGAAUCUUCCGCAAUGGACGAAAGUCUGACGGAGCAACGCCGCGUGAGUGAUGACGGCCUUCGGGUUGUAAAGCUCUGUUAAUCGGGACGAAUGGUUCUUGUGCAAAUAGUGCGAGGAUUUGACGGUACCGGAAUAGAAAGCCACGGCUAACUACGUGCCAGCAGCCGCGGUAAUACGUAGGUGGCAACCGUUGUCCGGAAUUAUUGGGCGUAAAGCGCGCGCAGGCGGAUUGGUCAGUCUGUCUUAAAAGUUCGGGGCUUAACCCCGUGAUGGGAUGGAAACUGCCAAUCUAGAGUAUCGGAGAGGAAAGUGGAAUUCCUAGUGUAGCGGUGAAAUGCGUAGAUAAUAGGUAGAGCACCAGUGGCGAAGGCGACUUUCUGGACGAAAACUGACGCUGAGGCGCGAAAGCCAGGGGAGCGAACGAG